AGGCGAUGAAGGACGUAGUAGCUUGCGAUAAGCUGCGGGGAGCUAGCAAACGAGCUUUGAUCCGCAGAUUUCCGAAUGGGGAAACCCGGCCUUUUAGGUCAUCGCAUACUGAAUACAUAGGUAUGCGAAGCGAACGCGGCGAACUGAAACAUCUAAGUAGCUGCAGGAAAAGAAAUCAACCGAGAUUCCCAAAGUAGUGGCGAGCGAAAUGGGAUGAGCCUUGUACGUGAUAGUCGAUCGGAUAGUGGAACGGAUUGGAAACUCCGGCCAUAGCGGGUGAUAGCCCCGUACACGAAAUCCGAACGGUGAUACUAAGCGUACGACAAGUAGGGCGGGACACGAGAAAUCCUGUCUGAAUAUGGGGGGACCAUCCUCCAAGGCUAAAUACUAGUAAUCGACCGAUAGUGAACCAGUACCGUGAGGGAAAGGCGAAAAGAACCCCGGGAGGGGAGUGAAAUAGAUCCUGAAACCGCAUGCAUACAAAAAGUCGGAGCCGCAAGGUGACGGCGUACCUUUUGUAUAAUGGGUCAGCGACUUACGUUCAGUGGCGAGCUUAACCGAAUAGGGAAGGCGCAGGGAAACCGAGUCCGAAUAGGGCGAAAUUCAGUCGCUGGGCGUAGACCCGAAACCAGGUGAUCUACCCAUGGCCAGGAUGAAGGUGAGGUAACACU
rnacentral:rRNA from 14 species